AUGAAAAUAUAGUAUAGGAAAAGGUGGUAAUAUGGCCCCUGCAUAUAAUAUGGCACCCCUCUGUAUUUCAAUGACCAAGUGCUGAGAUCUAGUUUUGAAGAUGGGAACUAGCUCAUUAGUUCAGUUGAUGGUCACUAGGAGUCCAUGGAACAAGUCUAUGCAGCAGUUGGUGAAUUUUGAGGUUAUUUCCAUCCUUGUGUUUUUUAAAAGUUUGGAAGGUAUGUAAGUUUCUCAAUUUUAAUGUGCUAUAACUAAUAAUUUCUCAUUAUUGAGCAUUGUUAUUAUGAUCUAGAAGUUAUUUCCAACAUUUUAACAUAAACUAGAAUGCUCUGUUGCUUUCAAGUUCUAACCUACAAACAACUUUGUUAAAUCACAGUCAUGUCUGCAAUAUGGCCCCCUUAGGUGAAUGUAAUAUGGACCCCGGGGUCCAUAUUACAAGCAGUUUGAAUAUUUGUUGUUAAAAACCUGCUAUUGCGGAUAUUGUUACAAGUUCUCCAUACAAGAAAGAACUAGAGGACUUCUAUGCAAAUAAAGAAGCUGACACUCACAGAAGAGGCCGUGGCCGUGGACGUGGACGUGGUAGAGGUGCCAAAAGAAAUUUGAUUUUUAACGACCCUCAGCCUUCUACAUCAGGACUCCAAUCUCCUAUUACUGAUCAAGAGCAUGGAAGAUCAAAGACAAUAAAAAGGCCUAAACAUCAAGAACAAACCGACAGCAGUGAUGAUGAUGAUGAUGAGGUGCAGCUCUCCACUUGCUCCAUCGAGUCACCCUUUGACCUGCCAAUUGGAGAGCCUCAACCAGACGAAAAAGAUGUGGCAUGUAUUUUCUGUGAUGAAAAAUUCUCGAGUAAUGUACGAGGAGAAUUAUGGGUCCAAUGAUUGAUGUGUUCUCUUUGGGCCCAUAAUGAAUGUGCAGGAGCAGAGAGGGAGGAAUAUGUCUGCGAUUUUUGUUGUUAACUUUUUUCUACAUUCACUGACCUUCAAUCAUCUACAAAUAUCUAUAAUCCAUUUUUUUACCCUAAUAUAAAACUAUUACUCAUGCAUAAUAAACUGUUUUAGUGCCACAAAGCCGUUUUUAAUUUUUUUCUCCUUAUUUUUGUACGUAAAUUACGAGGUCCAUAUUACAAACACCAUGGGGGCCAUAUUAACAAC